CGUAGGGUCCGAGCGUUGUCCGGAGUUACUGGGCGUAAAGCGCGCGCAGGCGGCGGUGUUGGCCCGGCGUGAAAGCCCCCGGCUCAACCGGGGAGAGUCGUCGGGGACCGCACCGCUUGAGGGCGGUAGGGGCUGGUGGAAUGCCUGGUGUAGUGGUGAAAUGCGUAGAGAUUUGGAGGAACACCAGUGGCGAAGGCGACUUUCUGGACUGUAACUGACGCUGAGGCUCGAGAGCGUGGGGAGCAAACAGGAUUAGAUACCCUGGUAGUCCACGCUGUAAACGAUGAAUACUAGGUGUUGGGGGCUAAGCCCUCAGUGCCGCAGUUAACACAUUAAGUAUUCCGCCUGGGGAGUACGAUCGCAAGAUUA
rnacentral:rRNA from 1 species